AGGUGUCUGACGAUUUGUGAGCACCGAGAGACUAUUCUGUGGAAUCAUCUUUCCUUGCUUUUGAAUUAGCUUUCCUUAGGCCAUGAGUCAACCUCAAUAUUUUGUACAUCCAAAUUGUUUUAAUGACAUUUUAACAUCAAGGACUUCAGUAGACUUAAUGGCUGAUUGAUGAAAUAAUCCAAACGUGAAGAGCAUCUUGAAUUGCAGCAGCCUCAGAUAUCCUGAGUACCAGCAGCCAUGGGCUUAGAGUGUCCCGUGAAUGCACUGUGGAGGGUGUUGGGGUCAGAGAAGGGGGGGGGGUUGUAUGAACUAAGCCAGUUGACAGAUGAAGAACCCAGUUGUUGCUGAUUACUAUCCACUCAACUGAACUCCUUUUGACCUCUGAUCUCAUGUACAUAGCACCUAUUGUUCUCUUAUUAAUGAUCAAUGUGUUUGUUGAAUAAAUGCAUGAGUCUUUCCUACUCUAUUCUGUGUAAUAAGAACUAAAUUAGCACCGAGUUAUAAAGAAAACUUAAGAAGUCUACAAAUAUUUUCAAUCCAAAAUCCUUUUAACUAUCUUCUCAUGGUUCCCAGUCACCCCCCAGACCCGACACAUAUAGAUCAUCUCUUGCCUGCAUUACUGCAAUAGCCUUGUAAUUGGUCUGCUUCCCCCUUG